GCCUCGGCCUCCCAACGUGCUGGGAUUACAAGCGUGAGCCACCGCGCCCGGCCAAAGCUGCAUUCUCUAGAUCACUGUCCCUGACCUGAGACCUGGGCCCUGGUUAGCACCAGCCCAAGCAAACGUGAACACAAAUGACUGCAGCACCGUGGGGGCCUCCAGAGAACUGUCUAAAUCCAACGUUAGUGACCAGCCUUGUCCUCAGCCUGGAGCCCAGAUAUGCUCAGGAAGCCCUCCUUGACAGACUGAUCAGUCGAGAAUCAGUUCUGGAUCUGCAGGUGGAUAUUUACAUCUACGGAUCAGAGGUUUAAGGGCACUUCCUGUUCAUUGUUGGUACCGGGACACAAUUCCAAGAACCUUAUUGCUGCUGUUUCUAGUGCAGGAGAGGGUGGCUGGUUUAGUUACAGACAAACUGUGCAGACCCCCAAGUGAGCCCUGACCGCCCAGGACCCUAAGAGUCGGGAGAGAGACACGGGGUGUGGGAGACGGCUCAGUGAGCCAGGAGAGCAAGGCAGAGCCCUGGUCCUCCCAGUGCCAGUCCCUGCCUUUCUGUCUCCAGCCUCCUGUGCAGAGACUGAGGAGGGUGGGCAGCAGAGGGAUACAGGCCACAGUAGAGAAGUCUCUAGAGCUCUGCUUCCUGAGCCACACAGAUUAGGGGGAACAGCCCCUUUUCUCUGGCCCCUCUUAGAGGAGGGGACUCAGUGCAAGUCUAACCUGUCCCCAUGGUUGUUCCCCUCACAUAAGAUGCUGAGUCUGAUUAUACUUCUCGAGGACUGGGUGGCUUCUUGAGGCUGGGUAGGAGAGCAUGGUCAGUGACUCUUCAGGCACCCUGGGAGGACACAGCUGCUGGACCCUAUGAAUACUAAACAGAGACACGGAGACAGGUGUCUGGUGUCCCAGCCAAGUCCAGCCACGAACUGACUUUCCAGGCUGCACAGAAAUCCAGGGGUCUCUCUUCCUUCUUGAUUCUCACUGGAUCAGCACAUAAGGCAGAGUGGUGGAGUUUGGGGAGAAUAAAUGAGCCUGCUUGUGUGGUUCACUGGAUUCAGUGGAAAUGCAGAGGACUACAGGGAUCAGAAGGAGAAAAAAAAAGGAGAAGGAGGAAGUGCUAGCUGAGGCAAAAUAGGAGAAUCAGCCAACUCUGGGCUACUUCAGAACUAGGGUAUCAGAGAGGCUCGUAAAAGAGAAAAAAUAGGCUGGGCACAGCGGCUCAUGCCUGUAAUUCCAGGACUUCAGGAGGCUGAGGCGGGUGGAUCACUUGAGCUCAGGAAUUCAAGACCAGCUUGGGUAACAUGGGGGGAAACCCCAUCUCUACCAAAAAUACAAGAUAUUAGCAGGGUGUGGUGGUGCGUGCCCAUAGUCACAGCUACUUGGGAGGCUGAGCUGGGAGGAUUGCUUGAGUCAGGAGGUGAAGGUUGCAGUGAGUUGAGACCACAGCCUGGGCAACCAGGGUGAGACCCUGUCCCUACCCUCACCACCACCCCCCACCAAAAAAAAGAGAGAAAAUGUAUAAAUGUCCAAUUUCAAGAAAAAAAAAUCUGGAAAAAUACCAGUAGGUUUCCUGUUAUAAAGCUCUUGAUAAUUAACUCAGGAUGAUAGAGGGGAGAAGUGGUUGACAGGAAAAGGAAAGAUAACCAAGAAGGGAAUUCAGGAAUCAGAGGCGUGGGAGGGGAGAGGGUAAGGAUGGGUUACACUACAGAAAAGACUAGAUGAGAAGCUAGUAAGAAUGUUGGAUGGGAGCCAGAGGGGAAGUCAGGUUAGUUGUUUGCUUUUGUUUUGUUUCUUAAAGAAAGGGGAGCCUCUCCCUGCUUUGCAGCUGUCCUCCCUGAUCGUCUUCCUGCAUGGAGUGUGGGUUCUUCGAUCUCGGCUUACCGCAAACUCUGCCUCCCGGGUUCCAGUGAUUCUCCUGGCUCAACCUCCCGAGUAGCUGGGAUUAUAGGCUGUGCCACCACGCCUGGCUAAUUUUGCAUUUUUAGUAGAGACGAGGCUUUUCCAUGUUGGCCGGGCUGGUCUCGAACUCCCGACCUCAGGUGAUCUGCCCGCCUUGGCCUCCUAAAGUGCUGGGAUUACAGGCGUGAGUCACCACACCCAGCCAAGUGUGGGGUUCUUCUGUCAUCCAAACACAUUAGUUCACUAUGUCUGAGAUAUCUCUUAGGUUAUUGCCCGCCAAGGUUUCUCCUUAUUUUAUACUAUUCUUAUGAAUUUAUUAUUGCUGUUUUUGUUAUUAGAGGCAAGGUCUCACUUUGUCACCCAGGCUGGAGUACAGUGGCAUGAUCAUAGCUCAUUGCAGCUUUGAACUCCUGGGGUGAAGCGACCCUCCUGCCUCAGCCUCCUAGGUAUCUACGAUGACAAGCAUGCCACACUAUGCCUGGCUAAUUCAUUUUUUAUUGUUUAAAAACAUGUUUUGUGGAGAAAAGUUCUUGCGAUGUUACCCUGGCUGGUCUCAAACUCCUGGCCUCAAGUAAUUCUUUUGCCUCAAACUCCCAGAGUGCUAGGAUUACACACGUGAGCCUCUUCUCCUGGCUGGACUUGUUUUUGUUCAAACAUGUAUGUAGAUUUUGUGUGGUAGGAACUUUUUAGAAAUGCAGAGACUGUGUCCUCACUCCAGAGCCCCUGAAUUAGAAUGUGCAUUUUGCAAAAUGCCCAGAAGAUUCAUAUGCACAAUAGAAUUUGGGAGGUACUCUUCUAACACAGGCAUGGAGACACUGGUGUAGUUUUGGAUAUAAAUUAUUCCUCAUACCUUAAUCUGUUAUGCUCCUUCUUACAUGAAUCGGAAACUCUUGUUUCUCUAUUUACUGCAUUGUGAAGUCAGGUAUAAUGUACUCAAGGCUUUCCAUUGAAAACUUCAGGCAUUUUUUUUCUGACCUCACAAGUAACUUCCACAGAAGUUACCAGGAGCGUUUUAAUAAUAAGAUAAUAUCAUACCUUUGUUUGAGUAGCAAACAAUAAGAAUUAUCUAAAAAUGAUAAUAUUUCAUUGGUAUUCAAAUAAAAAUAAAAUUAGCAACUAUUUAAAUGUUUUAUCCCUUUUAAGAAAUGGAACACUACUUACAUUAACCUCAAAUGAAAAGAUCAUAAAGGGGUGUAAAAGCAGAUGAAAAAGCACAAGGCUUGAUCACCAUUGUGGAAAUACUGAGAACAAAAAUAAUUCUUGAACUUUAUCAAAGCUUUAUGUUCAUAAGUAUUAGGUAUGACUUGACUGUUUCCGUGUCUUCAGAAAGAGUAGCACAAAAUUUCAGGAUGUGUCCCUUCCAUAGCUUGAAAUAUAGUGUUUGCCAAGGGACUGGUGAAACUUGGAUCUUUUUUGCUCUGCAAAGAAUAACUAAAUUUACUCAUUGUUUAAACAAUGUUAUUUAGCCAAGUAAUUAUUCUAAGUGUCUGAAUGGUCAUCAUGCCCUCCCCGUAUUUAUCAAUAAAUGGUAUAAUAUCCUUA